GACGAACGCUGGCGGCGUGCCUAAUACAUGCAAGUCGAACGAGAGCGACCGGUGCUUGCACUGGUCAAUCUAGUGGCGAACGGGUGAGUAACACGUGGGUAACCUGCCCAUCAGAGGGGGAUAACAUUCGGAAACGGAUGCUAAAACCGCAUAGGUCUUCGAACCGCAUGGUUUGAAGAGGAAAAGAGGCGCAAGCUUCUGCUGAUGGAUGGACCCGCGGUGCAUUAGCUAGUUGGUGAGGUAACGGCUCACCAAGGCCAUGAUGCAUAGCCGACCCGAGAGGGUGAUCGGCCACAUUGGGACUGAGACACGGCCCAAACUCCUACGGGAGGCAGCAGUAGGGAAUCUUCCGCAAUGGACGCAAGUCUGACGGAGCAACGCCGCGUGAGUGAAGAAGGUUUUCGGAUCGUAAAACUCUGUUGUUAGAGAAGAACAAGUGCUAUGAGUAACUGUUAGCGCCUUGACGGUAU
rnacentral:rRNA from 1 species